rnacentral:lncRNA from 1 species
UUCUAAGUUCCUUUGGCCCAUCUUCCACCCAAAUUCAGCAUCCCCUUCCACAAUAUCUCUGCCAAGUAACCACCGAACUCUCUAUUUAAUUUGUCUUAGAGUGAAGAGGUCACUAGCUCAUAUGAUGAUUCAUUUUAUUGUUGCUCAGAGGCAAUGAAAUGCCUGGAGAGUCUGAAGACGCGAUGCAUAGAGAGCACCGUACAUCACCAUGUCUGGAGAGUCAUUAGCUGGAAAAUUAAUCAGGGUGGAGAACAGCUGAAUAAAACCCCAGCCCUCAGUGUAACUUUCCACAUCCCUGGCUCAGCUGUGGAUACUAGCCAGCGCCAACCCUCAAAGGACAUCUUGGACUAUUCCCACCAGUGA